rnacentral:rRNA from 1 species
GACUGUCUUGAACCAUUACCCGGCGAAAUUGAAAUGGCUGUGAAGAUGCGGCCUACUUGCACUUGGACAAAAAGACCCCGUGGAGCUUUACUGCACCUAGACACUGAGGACUCUAUUUUGACUGUCGAGUAUAGGUGGGAGGCCCGUGCUUCGCACGGGAAUAUUCAAAUAAUCCAAUACUACCAAUUAUCCAAUAAUCCAAUAUUGGAUAAUUUGAGAAUUUGAUAAUUGGAAAUUGGAUAUUCAUGCGCGGAGCAUGGCCAUCACUGGAAUACCACUCUUCGAAAUGGGGAAAUCUGACUUACUCCCGCAUAAAAAUCCGGGAGGAGGACACUGUCUGGCGGGCAGUUUAACUGGGGAGGUUGCCUCCAAAAUUGUAACGGAGGCGUACAAAGGUUGGCUAAUCCUGAAUGGAAACCAGGACGUGUCGUGCAAACGCGGCAAGCCAGCUUGACUGCGAGACGUACAGGUCGAGCAGGGACGAAAGUCGGUGUUAGUGAUCCUCGGAUCCCUCGUGGGAGGGACCGGGCUUAACGGAUAAAAGCUACCCCGGGGAUAACAGGCUGAUCGCUUCCGAGAGUCCAUAUCGACGAGGCGGUUUGGCACCUCGAUAAUCCCGAUGAAGUCGGGAUCAUGUCGCCUAAAGGAGUAAUCCUUUUUGAAUAAUUCAGCUCAUAUCGGUGAAGCCCUCUUACUCUUUUGAACCGGAGUGAAGGGUAAUACCGAGGGAAGUCUUCGUGACCCCGUAACGACUGAUCCACGUUCAGAUUAUAUGAACGUGGUGAGAUGGAUCUUUUCAACGAUCUAUCACACGCUGAACACCCUUUUACUACAAUACAAAGGGUGGUGGCAUAGUCUAUGCCAUUGGAAACAAUGGACUAUCAUGGUCGGCUCAUCCUAUCCUGGGGCUGGAGAAGGUCCCAAGGGUCCGGCUGUUCGCCGGUUAAAAGGGUACGCGAGCUGGGUUCAGAACGUAGAUAACACUGCGUUGUGCCGUAGUAAUGCGGUACUAGUAUUAGCUGUAUCGGUGAAGCCUUCGAUCGUUUUUUUCGAACUGCACGAUCAUGGUAAUACCGAGGGAAGCUUUCUAAGCGAAGAGUUAUACUAGCUGUAUGACGUCUCAACAAAAUCAAUUUAUGAUAGGUAAACUUAUCGGUGACGGAAGUAUAGAGAAUCGCGGGAACGCGAAUGCGCGAUUACAAAUACGACAUUCAAUGCGCCAAAAAGCAUAUGUAGAUUGGUGUUUUGAGCAGGUAAAAGAAUUUACAAUUUCGUCGCCGAAGCAACACAAAGAUUCGUAUUACUUUCGAACGAGAAGUUUGCCAUUAUUUACUGAGAUUCGGCGUCAAUGGUAUGCGAAUGGAAGGAAAAUUUUGCCUAGAGGCAUUUAUUUAACCGCAUUCUCUAUCGCCAUCUGGUAUAUGGAUGAUGGAUAUUGGGAUACAAGACAAAAAUCUGCAUGGUUUUGUACGCAUAAUUUUCGAGAUGAUGAAAUAUUUCAACUGAUCGAAACAUUAGCAAAGCAUGAAAUCCUUGCUACACCAAUUAGAGAUCGUUUGCAUAUGAAAUUACGCAUUCGUUCAAUAAGUACACAUAGGUUUUUAAAUCUCGUAAAACCAUAUAUCCAUUCUUCGUUACUGUAUAAAAUUGGAAUAGCCCCGUAGAGACUAUACGCUAGCUCCCGAGAAACAGCGGGAUGAAGAUAUAGUCCAUGCCACCAGAAAUGGUUGGAAUAACAUGCGUGAGACAGUUCGGUCUCUAUCCAGUGCAAGCGAUCGAUUCUUGAGGGGAGUUCUCCCUAGUAGACGCGGAUAAAGCGUCAUGCUCUUCCGAUUUGUAAAGAUCGGAAUGUAAUUGGCUUAUAACGGUGAAGUCUUCCGAUAGUUAUGGUACGAUAAAUAGAUGCGAGAGGACCAUAAUAUCAAAGAUAAUACCGUGGGAAGUCGGUUUGGAACAGAUCUCUUGAAGAUAGAUAUUCUUGAAUUAUUUGAAUUUGAUACCUUGAAAAUAGAAGCUUUGAUAUACGAACGUGGAACAAUAUGAUACUAAGUUUCCGCGAUCUUGAAGUGUAUCAGGAAAGCUUUCGACUUCAGUUGGAAAUUGAGGAUAUACUUAAAGUAUUUCCUCAAGGUGAACGGUAUCUUCUCUGUGAUCAGAUGCGAAGAGCAUCCAGAGGAAUACCAUCACUUAUUGCUGAAGGCUGGGCAAAGCGAGAAUCACUAAAGGAGUUUCAGAAAUUCCUUCGUGAUGCAGGUGCUGAAGCUAACGAAAUGAUUAGUCAUUUAUUGUUAGUGAAGCAUAAGCAUUAUGUUCAAAAAGAGGGAUACGUAGAUGAGGUGAUUACUCGAUACGAAAAACUUGCCAAAAAAUUGACCAAUUUAAAAAAUAAUUGGCAAAAUUUCAAGUAGUCAAGCAAUCAAAUAUAUCAAAGUCAAGAAUAUCCAUAUUCCAUAUUCAAAUCAUCCCAAACUUGACCCCGUAACGACUGAUGUCCUCCGCCAACCGGCGGAGAGAUUGAGAUCUAUCAAAUGAUGGAUCAAACGCCGACCCCUCCUAUUCGGAGGGUGAAGAUAUAGUCUGAGCUCUUAGAAAUAAGAGAAUAACUUGACGAGAGGACCGGGAGGAACGGAUCCCUGGUGUGCCUAUUGUCGGACAACCGGCAUCGUAGGGUAGCUAGAUCCGGAAGGGAUAAGUGCUGAAAGCAUCUCAAGCGCCAAGCCCACCCCAAGAUGAGGAAUCGUGAUUCAGACCCGUUGUAGAUGACAACGUUAAUAGGCGAGAAAUGUACGCACGGCAACGUGUUUAGUUUACUCGUACUAAUCGGUCGAAGU